rnacentral:rRNA from 1 species
GACGUAGGGGGCGAGCGUUGUUCGGAUUUAUUGGGCGUAAAGAGCUCGUAGGUGGCUUGUUGCGUCUGCCGUGAAAGCCCGUGGCUUAACUACGGGUCUGCGGUGGAUACGGGCAGGCUAGAGGCUGGUAGGGGCAAGCGGAAUUCCUGGUGUAGCGGUGAAAUGCGCAGAUAUCAGGAGGAACACCGGUGGCGAAGGCGGCUUGCUGGGCCAGUUCUGACGCUGAGGAGCGAAAGCGUGGGGAGCGAACAGG